UAUUCAAUUGUAAAGUAAUUCGAUUUAAUUUUCAAACCAGAGGCUAACGAGGGCGAAACAUCGAUCCAUCUUGAUUUUAUAUUUGGAUCCACUUUUGAGUGUUUCAAAUAAGAAAUUCAAUUUUUUUUUUUUAUACUACGUUGGUGGCAAACAAGCAUACGGCCCGCCUGAUGGUAAGCAGUCUCCGUAGCCUAUGUACGCCUGCAACUCAGAGGAGUUACAUGCGCAUUGCCGACCCUAAACCCCCCCCCCCCCUCGUUGAGCUCUGGCAACCUUACUUACCGGCAGGAACACAACACUAUGAGUAGGGUCUAGUGUUAUUUGGCUGCGAUUUUCUGUAAGGUGGAGGUACUUCCCCAGUUGGGCUCUGCUCUAGAUCUGGAAUGACAUCCACUGGCUGUGCCCUACCACACAAAGCGAGAUGAAAUUCACAAUGCCCAUACCUCUCUUUUGGACGUAGUUUAAGGACGUACCCGGGUCCAAAUAACAUGUAUCAAUUGGUGUGUGUGAAAUCCCCAAUCCGUAUUGUGCUAAAUUAAGAAGCACUCAACUAAAAAUAGUUUUAUCGAAAUAAUAUGUUAUGAUCCGGUUCCCUAAUAGUAAUUUAAUUGCCUAGCGGAUUAAUUACCUACGUUAAUGUUUAUCCAGCUACUUAAAGAGUUGAAGUAUAUAAACAGCAGUAUUAUGGUAGACAGGUAUAAUCUUUUCAAAUCUCGGAAAGACAGCUUGUGAAGAUGAAAUACUUCGUACUUCUCGCCAUCAUCGCCUGCGCGUGCGCCGAGCCGGCCCCGGCCACCACGGAGAUGGAGUGGAAGGCCGAAUACGGCACUUUCGGCCUUCACUACUUCCCCUACUUACCCUACUACCCCAUACCGUUUGCUCCUUCCCCCGCUGCUACCCCUGCGGAACCUACUGCAACCAAGCCUAUACCCCUUGCUCCUACCCUUGACACCAAGGCAUACAUUCCCCUUGCCCCUGCUGAAAGCACGUACAUGACUUACCCCCUUUACCGUGUUUCUUCGUACCAGCCAGAGCAUUUCUAUAACACCCGUGGAUACUACCCGGAGACUAAAUGAAUAUGACGAAACUAUGGAAUUGUAAAAAAUGAAUGAAUUAAAUUGAAACGUA